GAAAGAAAAUACAGGGCAUAAUCCUACAGGUGUUGAACAACUUUCCAGGUGAACGGGGGGUAAUAGAAACAUUUCUCACUCUUCCAUGCAGAAUAUCCAUCGUGACAUGUCUAGCUUUCUACUGGCACAUUUCCUAUGUGCUUUGCCUUGUGCUAAGGGCUGUGAAUUCAGUGGAAAAUUUGAAAGGAUGAACUGUUUCAAAGCUGGGUGAUGGAGGCUGUGGGAGCAGCAAGCCCAGGAUGCUGAGGUAGCCUGAUUAAAGGAUAAAGAUCACUCUGGCCUCAGGGAUUCCAUAAACAAGUCAACAAAGCAACAGGAGAGAAUCAGAAAUGGAUCUUUUCUUAUGAUUUCUAUGUGAUCAUCAGAAUGAAGAAGAAGUGCAGGUGGUCCCCAA